rnacentral:rRNA from 1 species
AUUGAACGCUGGCGGCAGGCCUAACACAUGCAAGUCGAGCGGAGCGGCGGACGGGUGAGUAAUACCUAGGAAUCUGCCCGGUAGUGGGGGAUAACGUUCGGAAACGGUCGCUAAUACCGCAUACUAUCAGAUGAGCCUAGGUCGGAUUAGCUAGUUGGUGAGGUAAUGGCGUACCAAGGCUACGAUCCGUAACUGGUCUGAGAGGAUGAUCACUCACACGGGGACUGAGACGCGGUCCAGACUCCUACGGGAGGCAGCAGUGGAGAAUAUUGGGCAAUGGGGGAAAGCCUGAUCCAGCCAUACCGGGUGUGUGAAGAAGGUCUUCGGAUUGUAAAGCACUUUAUGUAGGAAUGCGGUACCGGCAGAAUAAGCACCGGCUAACUAAGUGCCAGCAGCCGCGGUAAUUC